rnacentral:pre_miRNA from 14 species
AGCUCGAGUCUCAGAAUGGUGUGCCCCAGGAAACACCGAUCCCAGACAAGCCCCCAAAUAAAAGAUCCCCAAAGAGAGACCCUUUCUAAAGGCGCGGGAAAUCACGGACCCCAGACACAGAGAGACCA